GGUUUGUGGCUCAGUGGUAGAGCACUUGCCUAGCAUGUGUGAGGCCCUGGGUUUGAUUCUCAGCACCA
rnacentral:tRNA from 1 species